GGAUUGCUAUUUCAGACGGCGGUUGCAGCAGCCGACCUGUCUCAACUCCACCACUGUAGUCAGAGAAUCAAAAGCGGUCUGAGUUGCGAGGUCAUUGGGGAGGCCCCCACCCCCACAUUACCAGUGAGGAAACUGAGACUUAAAAAAGUGACCUGACCUGGACACGGGAUUGCCUGACAUCAGAGCUGGAUUCUUAAGUUCCUGUUAGUGUUAAGGCGCUGCUCAGACUUUUAGUAAAGGUGAGCGCCAUCUACUGCCAAGUCUCACAAAAUAUUCGCAAAAUUUGAUACGGUUAUCACAUGGUAAAAAUUAGACUUUAAAAGUUGUAUUUAAUGCUGUGUUUUCAGCUGUUGUACACUUAUGUAAUUUUAAUUAUGCAAAGUUAUCCUAAUAAUAUAGGAAUAUUAAUUGCUUUCGUGAGGUCUGUCUUGAUGUGCCACGAUGACUUUUUUGAUGUGCCAAAAAAGAUGACUACAUAGUGCUUUUACCUUUUUGCUCAAAUAGAAAGAUUUUAUUUCCCCUUG
rnacentral:lncRNA from 1 species